rnacentral:lncRNA from 1 species
AUUGGAUCAAGGAUGCGCUAAUGGACGACACGGAUGACAAGGAAAGUGACAUCGUACAUGUUCUGGGUGUCUUGAGGAGCUUGUCUUUGGAUGAUGCUGAGCAGGUCUUUCUUUCUGGUAACGAUUAUCAUUACAGUGAAGUAAAAGAAUUUAACAGACAGAUUGACAAACAACUGACGAAAGAAGAGAGACCAUUCUAUAGAGGCCUCUAGAGAUCGUGACCUGUGAAGAGAUGAUGCCACCAUAGAGGACUUCUAGAUGUAUCCAUAAUCCUGGACCAGACCGUAUCAUGAUCAGAUGCAGUGGUGGUCAUGGAGAAGUGGAGAGCAUGAUACUGAUUAAUGAAAGACCCCAGCGACAGAUGAGUGCCCACAUUGAUCCUGUGGUCCAGCCUGAAAACCCGCUGGUGCCCUACUCACACCUGCAGCUUCUCCACGAUGGAC